rnacentral:rRNA from 1 species
AUACGGAGGGUGCAGGCGUUAUCCGGAAUCAUUGGGUUUAAAGGGGCCGUAGGCGGGCUGAUAAGUCAGGGGUGAAAUCCCACAGCUUAACUGUGGAACUGCCCUUGAUACUGUUUGUCUUGAGUUACAGUGAAGUGGUUAGAAUGUGUAGUGUAGCGGUGAAAUGCAUAGAGAUUACACAGAAUACCGAUUGCGAAGGCAGAUCACUAACUGUAUACUGACGCUAAUGGACGAAAGCGUGGGGAGCGAACAGGAUGAGAAACCCCAGUAGUCC